rnacentral:rRNA from 1 species
GAUGAACGCUGGCGGCGUGCCUAAGACAUGCAAGUCGAGCGAAGCGGUGACGGGUGAGUAACACGUGGAGAACCUCCUAUAAGACUGGGAUAACUUCGUUCAACCGGAGCUAAACCGGCUACUUAUACAUGGAUCCGCGCUGCAUUAGCUAGUUGGUAAGGUAACGGCUUACCAAGGCAACGAUGCAUAGCCGACCUGAGAGUGUGAUCUGCCAAACUGGAACUGAGAUACGGUCCAGACUCCUACGGGAGGCAGCAGUGGGGAAUAUUACGGAAUGCACGAAAGCCCGACGGAGCAACGCGGCGUGAGCGAUGAAGGCCUUCGGAUAGUAAAAUACUUUCAGGAGGGAAGCGGUAACGGAUCAAAAAGCCACGGCUAAUUACGUGCCAGCAGCCGCGGUAAUAC